rnacentral:tRNA from 1 species
UAGCUCAGUUGGUAAAGAAACUGCCUGCAAUGCAGGAGACCCGGGUUCGAUUCCUGG